GGAAAGGAAAAAACCCACACAAUAUUUAGAAAGACCAAAGUCGCAUAAAAGAACCUUCUAAUGAGAUGAAUAUACCCACAGGAAAACAAUUUUAAUUAGCAAAUUAACUACUCAUUUAUACUCAAAAUAAAUAGAAGUGCACUGAUGAUGUGCAUAUCCUUUCUCAAUUGACAGGUUUAAAUUGUUGAUAGGACCAAAUGCACGGCACAUUCAUGGCAACAAUUGUGAAUAAAAAGAAAAAGGAAAUAGAAUAACCUAAUUGAGCAACAAGCGACCAAGAAUACACUACAAAGGUGGUGCCGUGCGGCGGGCAAGAGUACAUUACUCAAGCUAGUAUGAAAAUACAUUAAGACAUGCAUACAGAUCUAGCUUUGUCACGAGUCCUUCACAGCAUUCUGCAUACAUAAAUUGAAGGGGCUUCUUUAAUAAAGGAGGCAUGUUAUACUUUGCCACUCAUGAGUUGCAAGCACAUUGUUGUAGUUGGAUAGCCACAAUCGGCAUCCUUCAAUGGGCUAUCACUGGCUUCAAGUAAGUCUCGUAUUUCAGUUUUGUCACUUUGUCUAGAUUUUUGGCCCUAAAUCAUGGGCGUUCUCAGUACACGCAACUCUGAAAAAUAGAGAGCACCCAUAUAAGCUUAAAUGCUUGGCCGAGGUCGGCUUAAAAACAGACUUCUUCCUUGGUUGUUGUAGAACUACAUGGCCUGAGCUGCAGUUAUUUUAUAUCUGCUAUUUUGCAUUGCCAGCGUUCAUGUGUCACCUCCAACCUGCAUCAACAAAAUAUGUAGGACUCAGUAGUAUACUGGACAACUCCAAACCUAAUGGAAUUGCAUAAUUUCCAUACACCUGCAUCAGGCUUGCCUAUCAACUACUUAGGUAAGAGUUGAAACCGAGUUCAACCGGUAAGCAAAAAAAAAGUUAGUUCAGGAAAAAAUGUCGCGCCCUUCUCGAGUCUUGACAGUAUGCAAGAAUCAUGCCUAAACACUAUGUGCAGACAUGGUGAGAGAUGCCACCACAUGUCACGGUUCUAGACCAGAAAACAGCUAGCCAUUCCUAUUAUGCAGAUUUGCAUGUCUUAGGGUGUAGUAAAAUUCUAGGUAAGCAGGUUAGCACUGCCAUACUUGUCAUUUGGAUCAAUACGGCUGUUAUACAUCUCUGAACUCCUCAGUCCAUCAGUAAAAGAGCAAAUCAUGUAAGGCUUGAUUCAUAUAAGUAAGUGUGCAUGUGCAAAGCACGUCUUGUCAGGAAUAAAAAAAUUUGAAUACGCAAAGCUAAUGUAGAGAAACCUGUAGAGAAAACCAGUACCAGGACAUAGUAAAAGUAAACUCUAGAGGAAAAUAAACGUGCAUUGACCAUAUAUGACUAUAAACGACACAACUAAGAAAGCAGUUCCAUGCUUUCAUGUGACAAACUUCAAUAAUGCUUAGUAGUUUGUACAAUAUAAUAUAAGCAAAUAUGAAAAUGAAAUAUGGUAAAAUCACCCAUUCAUGGCAGUUUAACCAAAUUAUAUAAGUUAACAAGGCAGAAGCAGAAACAGAGUUUUAGCAUGUUACCUUUCAAAUGAUUGUAAGAUAUCUAACAUCAAGGAGUGAUCCCGAAAGUCAUACUCAUAGCAGCCAGAGAGGACAUUAGCGACCUCCAUAGGUAAAUUGUACAGGAACAUCGGUUUCUCUUUCUGUAGGACAACUGACUGAUAAAUCUCAUCUGGUGAUUUGGCACACCAAGUCUGAACACCACUGAACAUCUCAAGAAUGCUCCAAGCGAAACCCCAAUGAGUCAGUAUAGUAACUAAUUGGGCCUCUGAUGUUUGGUCGCCAAUGUUCUGGGGCAUGUAAUUUGGAGUCCCAUGUCUUUGGAUAAGAUCUGGAUUUGGCAGCGGAAGUCCAUACGGCAAGGAUGGAAUCCCAAAUCCCCCAGCACAACAUGGUCAUUGUCAUCAAGGAGAAAAUUACAAGACUGAAGAUUCUGAACAAAUAUUCCCCUGGAGUGUAGUUAUAGCACACCAUGCGGCAAAUCGGUGCCAUAUCAGCAAGUUACAGGAAACCAUAAAAAUAUGUAGUACUACUGAAGAAAACAUCUUCUAAACAGAGCAUCUGAAAUUCAGUGCAUACAGUCAGAGGCAUGUUACCUCCAGAAAUCCCUAUCAAAAGACACUGGUUUCCUUCCACGCAUUACAUAUGCCAAAAGAUAGUAAGCAUAACAUUAACCCAUUUAGUUGUCUAGAUAACCAGAUUAAAUCGUAAGCAUUACAUGGUUAUAUUUCAGUGAAAAGGAAUACUGUUAAAUAAUGAUUGCCAAUGCAUGUCAUCAUGCAUAAUUCAAAAACCACACGUUUAAUCAUUUAGGGGGCACAUACAUUUAUUUUCAGAGCCUGCAACUCGUAAUGAAAUGCUAGACAAGUUUAUUGUCCUACUAAAAUAUAUGAGGAAAUUAUCAAUGUCAAAGUUGUUGUGCCUAAUGCCAAAACUAACUACUAUAUCAGGUCUGGUUACUGAGAUGGUGUUCGGUGUGAAGAUUAGUUAACAAAAAAAUGUGAAAAUACUUGUGUAAUUAGAACAACAAGAACUGUAAAUGUAUGGAUUUGGAUUUCACAACUUAAUGCCAACUAACACCGCAUUAGAAAGAAGGAAAGCCCGGUCAAGUAUACUUUGCAAUGAAAUUUGAUUGAAUCAUUAAAUUAUCAAGAGCCAUGUUGAACAAUACCCGGCGAACGUUCGCUGGUGAUGAGGUCCCAGUGAACACACACAGAACCACACAAUCAAGAUCCUGUGGAUGGCUGUUUUCUCAAAAAAUUGCACUAAAUUAAAGAACUGCCAUGGCAGUUUAUAAAAAAUGCCCCUUGCCCCUACCCUAAAAACUACCACCCGAGUCGUUCACAUAUGCCAUUCCUGGCAUACAAACGGCAUCUUUUUUUUCACUUUCCUAAACCAAAAGGAAACAAAUAUAUACUCGCUAUUCCAGUUUGACAAUAACAGCAAGCUACGUCAAACACUCAGUUUUAAAAAAGCUCAUGUUUCAAAAUAAUGUAGUGGCCUAGAAAUCGGAAUAUAUUUUAUGCUUUCAGAGCUAGUGAUUUGCAAACUUCCCUCUGUAAUCUAAUUUGUAGUCACAUUACAGACUGACUUUUCUUUAGUUAAAUAGCUUGUGCUAGCUUGCUUGAUGGUCAUGCAGUUUGUGAGUUGAUGAGUUGAACGAUUUGGUGGGUUGGCCAACAUUUGUGAAGAAAUGAAAGGUCCCACUUAUUGAUUAUGGUGAACAAACUAAGACUCAAAAUUGAUACGAGGCAAUGGGCAUAAGCUAAUCAGGAUUGCUGAUUAUGACUGGUUCCUUGUUUACAAAAUUGGCAUGCCAACCAUGUAAGAAGAUAACCAUAACUCCAAUGGGGGCAAAAGAUGCAUGAGGAAAAAUGAGAAAUAUUAUUGGGGCAAACAAUAUGCAAGACGGCUAUCUGCUCAGGCUAAUGAUGCAACUCGGCAAACAGAUGGCAUACGACUGCUACGUUUGUUUCACUCUACAGACAUUCAGAUGGCAAAAUCAGUGAGCUCACAUGGUCUAACAGUUGGGAUCAAUAAGCUACAACUUACCAUAAUUGGAAAUCCUUUUUCAUAUAAACCUUGCAGAUCACAAACUUAUGACCUGAGCAUGUAAAAGGAAUAUUUCAAUUGAAAGGGACGAACAACAGGGUGUUUUUUUACCUUGGUGCUACAUGGAGGUGUCCCAGGAGGACGCCAAUGAAGGGCUCGGCGGACCAAAUCUUAUUUAUAUUUGGAGCAUAGACCUUGAAGAUACCC
rnacentral:lncRNA from 1 species